rnacentral:rRNA from 1 species
GAUGAACGCUGGCGGCGUGCCUAAUACAUGCAAGUCGAGCGAACGGACGAGAAGCUUGCUUCUCUGAUGUUAGCGGCGGACGGGUGAGUAACACGUGGAUAACCUACCUAUAAGACUGGGAUAACUUCGGGAAACCGGAGCUAAUACCGGAUAAUAUUUUGAACCGCAUGGUUCAAAAGUGAAAGACGGUCUUGCUGUCACUUAUAGAUGGAUCCGCGCUGCAUUAGCUAGUUGGUAAGGUAACGGCUUACCAAGGCAACGAUGCAUAGCCGACCUGAGAGGGUGAUCGGCCACACUGGAACUGAGACACGGUCCAGACUCCUACGGGAGGCAGCAGUAGGGAAUCUUCCGCAAUGGGCGAAAGCCUGACGGAGCAACGCCGCGUGAGUGGUGAAGGUCUUCGGAUCGUAAAACUCUCUUAUUAGGGAAGAACAUAUGUGUAAGUAACUGUGCACAUCUUGACGGUACCUAAUCAGAAAGCCACGGCUAACUACGUG